rnacentral:rRNA from 1 species
AUUGAACGCUGGCGGCAGGCCUAACACAUGCAAGUCGAGCGGAUGAAGGGAGCUUGCUCCUGGAUUCAGCGGCGGACGGGUGAGUAAUGCCUAGGAAUCUGCCUGGUAGUGGGGGAUAACGUCCGGAAACGGGCGCUAAUACCGCAUACGUCCUGAGGGAGAAAGUGGGGGAUCUUCGGACCUCACGCUAUCAGAUGAGCCUAGGUCGGAUUAGCUAGUUGGUGGGGUAAAGGCCUACCAAGGCGACGAUCCGUAACUGGUCUGAGAGGAUGAUCAGUCACACUGGAACUGAGACACGGUCCAGACUCCUACGGGAGGCAGCAGUGGGGAAUAUUGGACAAUGAGCGAAAGCCUGAUCCAGCCAUGCCGCGUGUGUGAAGAAGGUCUUCGGAUUGUAAAGCACUUUAAGUUGGGAGGAAGGGCAGUAAGUUAAUACCUUGCUGUUUUGACGUUACCAACAGAAUAAGCACCGGCUAACUUCAUG